AGGAACAAUCCAGUUGUGGGCAUUUUUUCCCGUCCCGAGAACACAAAAAAAAAAAAAAAGAAUUUACCUUCUUUUUUCUCCGACUGAUUUGGUUACGAAUUUGGAACUGAAAUUGGCAUCGAAUUUUUAGUUUCUUUUUCGCUAUCCCUCAGCAAAGAACCGAAGCAUUAAUCAGUUAUCGCAAUUGGGAGUCGAACAUUCGCUGAUUCUUCGGAAUAUCAGUCUUCCAUUUUCGUCAUUCGAAACACUACAUCAAGAUCGGGCUAAUAAUGCGCAUUUAGUAAUAAAUUUUGCCUUACAAUAUAUGAAGAAGUAGAUAAAUCUAUGGUUUCCUGGGAGAGAGCUGAAAUAACGUGGAGACUGUAUCUAAUUUUUGAGAGAUUUCAGGAAAUGCUCACCUGCAACCAUUGAAUUUGCACCCUUUGAGUUCUGAGAGGCAGCCAUCC